GUUUGAUCCUGGCUCAGGAUGAACGCUAGCUACAGGCUUAACACAUGCAAGUCGAGGGGAAACGAUAUUGAAAGCUUGCUUUCGAUAGGCGUCGACCGGCGCACGGGUGAGUAACGCGUAUCCAACCUGCCCAUAACUAAGGGAUAAUCCGUAGAAAUGCGGUCUAAUACCUUAUGUGAUCCGAGGAAGACAUCUGAUUUGGAUUAAAGAUUUAUCGGUUAUGGAUGGGGAUGCGUCUGAUUAGAUUGUUGGCGGGGCAACGGCCCACCAAGUCUGCGAUCAGUAGGGGUUCUGAGAGGAAGGUCCCCCACAUUGGAACUGAGACACGGUCCAAACUCCUACGGGAGGCAGCAGUGAGGAAUAUUGGUCAAUGGGCGGGAGCCUGAACCAGCCAAGUAGCGUGCAGGAUGACGGCCCUAUGGGUUGUAAACUGCUUUUGUAUGGGGAUAAAUUGCUCCACGUGUGGAGUAUUGCAGGUACCAUACGAAUAAGGACCGGCUAAUUCCGUGCCAGCAGCCGCGGUAAUACGGAAGGUCCGGGCGUUAUCCGGAUUUAUUGGGUUUAAAGGGAGCGUAGGCCGUGGAUUAAGUGUGUUGUGAAAUGUAGGCGCUCAACGUCUGACUUGCAGCGCAUACUGGNCCACUAGAGUGCGCGCAACGNGGGCGGAAUUUGUCGUGUAGCGG
rnacentral:rRNA from 1 species